CUGUAUCUGUGCAUUCCGCAUCUGCUGAUUCAACCAACCAUGGAUUGAAAAUAUUUGGAAAAAAGCAUUUCACUAAAUUCCAAAAAUCAAAUCUUGAAUUUGCUGUCUGUGGAGUACUACGUUGAAUCCAUGAGGAUGAAGUGAUAUGUAGACAUCGUAAUAACCUGAUCCAGAGCAACUUUGGAAAGCAAUGGAUCUCAUCAGGAAUCUUGCUGAAAACAGAGCCCAAGAGGUUAAUGCUGACUAAAUCCAGCUGUGACCUGACACGAUGCGACAGCACAGUGCCUAAUUAUCCUCUGGAUAGUCAUUUACUUGAAACCAUUAAAGGAAUAGGCUGAGAGGAAGAUUUAGGACCCUGAAAAAAUGUUAGCCUGACUUCUUUCUUCUUGAAGAUGGGAUGGGCUGAAAAAUAAAAAUAAAA